rnacentral:tmRNA from 1 species
GGGGACGCGCGGGUUCGACAGGAGCGUCUCGUGGCGGAUUGCAGGCCGAGGAUGCCAUCUCCCUCGUUAAUCCGGUGGCAGCCAUUAACUGGCGAACGUGAAUUCGCUCUAGCCGCGUAAUAGCGGCUACGUCCGCUCACCGUUAGGCCCGGAGACGGGGAUGCGGGCGCCAAAAGUCCGGGAUGCGGUUACACCAAUGCCGAUACGGAGUAGCCAAAGAAAAAUCGGCUGGCGGAUCGGAGAUUCCGUCGGAGGAAGCUUCGAACCGCGAGACUCAAAGCUCCGAAUAAGCCUGUAGUAUAUCCAGUCAUAGGGCCUUCUGGACGGGGAGUUCGACUCUCCCCCGUCUCCACCA